rnacentral:lncRNA from 1 species
CACUGACCCUGCCAUCAACCACACUGUUGGGUUUCAGGUCUCAGAGCGACCUUGUAUCUACUUAGACAAUAAUAUACACAGGGUAAGGCUAGAAGGCCAGGGCUCUUGGCACAAUGAGGUCGGGGAUCUAUAAGGCUGUUGGCUAGGAUAUCCGGUUGGCUGUACAGCCUAAGUGAGUGGAAUUGAGGCCUGGCUAUGAAUUACUUCUGGAGGGGUGGGGAGGCAGUGGUCAUCCCUUUUGUAGAUAUUUUUUUUCUUGUACGGAUUGACAUGGCCUUUCCUUGUCUUUGAUGGUUAAAUUCCGAUAUUUGUUAUUAAAUGCAGUAUUCAAGUAUUAUUAACUCACAUGACUUCCCAUGCAGCCACACCCCCUCCCGCCAUUCAGCACAUCAGAGCCUUUCAGGAAGUGUAGGGUACAAACGCAUUCCCUCACACAUAGUCUUCAUGGGAGCGUGUCAUGGUGGAAAGGUUGCUAAAUGGAACACGCUGACACAUUUUUUCCCCCGUACAAGAAACGUCACCUUGCUUUCCCGUAACCCCAGCAAAACGUGGAACUUUUAGGACUUUGUCUGUUUGCCCUCUGGGUGUUUUGUCAGGUCAUAGCGACACGAGAUCACCUCAGACUAUUGCCUCAUCGUCCGGACAAAUAUUAACUGGGUUAAUUAUUUUUGGUUACCGUGUUGGCCAUACAACCCUGCGUAAAUAAACAAGCUUUGCUUU